rnacentral:ribozyme from 1 species
UGCCCAGCAACUCCUAUCCCUAGGUCCUCGUGGUACCGGCCGGAAACUAUGAGCAACCUUAGGGAAGAUCGGGUAACCAACCCCGGUGGGAACUUUGGUCGUAGGCUGACAGGGAAGG